rnacentral:rRNA from 1 species
CCAAGGAGUCUAACAUGUGCGCGAGUCAUUGGGACUUGUUUAAGCCUAAAGGCGCAAUGAAAGUGAAGGUCUUCCUUAGCGUUGGCCGAGGGAGGAUUGCCGGCUUCAAGGAGCCGACUCGCACUCCCGGGGCGUCUCGUGCUCAUUACGAGCAGAGGCGCACCUAGAGCGUACACGUUGGGACCCGAAAGAUGGUGAACUAUGCCUGGUCAGGACGAAGUCAGGGGAAACCCUGAUGGAGGUCCGUAGCGAUUCUGACGUGCAAAUCGAUCGUCGGAACUGGGUAUAGGGGCGAAAGACUAAUCGAACCAUC